UACGUAGGGACCGAGCGUUGUCCGGAAUCAUUGGGCGUAAAGAGCGUGUAGGCGGCUCGCUAAGUCUUGCGUGAAAUCUCGGGGCUCAACCCCGAGCGGUCGUGAGAAACUGGCGGGCUAGAGUGCGGGAGAGGAGGGUGGAAUUCCUGGUGUAGCGGUGAAAUGCGCAGAUAUCAGGAGGAACACCUGUGGCGAAAGCGGCUCACUGGACCACAACUGACGCUGAGGCGCGAAAGCUAGGGGAGCAAACAGG
rnacentral:rRNA from 1 species